rnacentral:rRNA from 1 species
GGACCCGCACAAGCAGUGGAGCAUGUGGUUUAAUUCGAAGAUACGCGCAGAACCUUACCAACACUUGACAUGUUCGUCGCGAGACUAAGAGAUUAGUCUCUUCAGUUCGGCUGGACGAAACACAGGUGCUGCAUGGCUGUCGUCAGCUCGUGUCGUGAGAUGUUGGGUUAAGUCCCGCAACGAGCGCAACCCUUGCCACUAGUUGCUACAUUUAGUUGGGCACUCUAGUGGGACUGCCGGUGACAAACCGGAGGAAGGUGGGGAUGACGUCAAGUCCUCAUGGCCCUUACGUGUUGGGCUACACACGUGCUACAAUGGUAUCUACAACAGGAAGCAAAACUGCGAGGUUUAGCAAAUCCUUAAAAGAUACCUCAGUUCGGAUUGCACUCUGCAACUCGAGUGCAUGAAGCUGGAAUUACUAGUAAUCGU